AGUGAACGCUGGCGGUAGGCCUAGCACAUGCAAGUCGAACGGCAGCACAGUAAGAGCUUGCUCUUACGGGUGGCGAGUGGCGGACGGGUGAGGAAUACAUCGGAAUCUACUUUUUCGUGGGGGAUAACGUAGGGAAACUUACGCUAAUACCGCAUACGACCUACGGGUGAAAGCAGGGGAUCUUCGGACCUUGCGCGAUUGAAUGAGCCGAUGUCGGAUUAGCUAGUUGGCGGGGUAAAGGCCCACCAAGGCGACGAUCCGUAGCUGGUCUGAGAGGAUGAUCAGCCACACUGGAACUGAGACACGGUCCAGACUCCUACGGGAGGCAGCAGUGGGGAAUAUUGGACAAUGGGCGCAAGCCUGAUCCAGCCAUACCGCGUGAGUGAAGAAGGCCUUCGGGUUGUAAAGCCCUUUUGUUGGGAAAGAAAAGCAGCAGGUUAAUACCCCGCUGUUCUGACGGUACCCAAAGAAUAAGCACCGGCUAACUUCGUG
rnacentral:rRNA from 1 species